GCCGUGGCUCAGUGGUAGAGCAUCUGCUUUGCAUGCGGAAGAUCCUGUGUUCCUUUCCUAGCAUCUCCA